rnacentral:piRNA from 1 species
UCCCUGAUAAUUUCCAGGUGC